CUAACAAAACAUAUGAAUGUCAACACUGUUGUAAUUUUGUGCUGUGUUUUUGUUUACGCACAUUGCGCAUCAUAGGCAAGGGUUUGGAGUUGUUGCCGCAAGCACUGCCCAAUAGUUAAAACACUGGAGUUAUUUUGUACUUGGUUUCUGUAUAUCUAACAAUUGGAGCGCUUAACGCCGCUGAAGGACAAACAUCGGCAUCCAUCGGAGAGUGAAGAAUGUGUAUGGGGCAGCACAUCUGUUGAAAACCACCAUUGUGAAAUGGUGCACCAAGCUCCGUGAUGGUCACAGUUCAAUACAAGGUACUGGUCAACUGGGGAGGCAGAAGUUACACCAACUACCGUGGAAGACACUCAAGCACCUGCCCUAUAGUCCUGAUUUCUCCCCAAAUUAUUAUCAUGCCUUCUGUCCCAUAAAAAAGGGCUUGAAGGGUUGACAAUUCCCUUCGGACAGGGGUAUGUGGCAGGCAGAUAUGGAUGUCUUCAUGCAGCAGGACAUGGUGUUUUAGCAAAUGGGUAUCUUCAACCUGGUGUGACGGUAGGAUGAUAGUGUCAACAUUGACUGCGAUUAUGCUUGAUUGGCAUAUAAGUUCUGGACUUUACAACCAUAGAACCAACUUUUUGAUCCCCUUUAAAUUAUUGUACCAGCAAGAUGUAUUAUAAAUAACAUUGGAAAUUAAUACCAAUUAAAUAUCAUACAUGUAA